rnacentral:tRNA from 1 species
GAAGGUAUAGCUCAAAUGGUAGAGUACCUGCCUAGCAUGCAUGAGGUCCUGGGCUCAAUCCCCAGUGCCUCUG